AGGGGAGUAGCUCAAUUGGCAGAGCGUCGGUCUCCAAAACCGAAGGCUGGGGGUUCGAGACCCUCCUCCCCUGCCA
rnacentral:tRNA from 3 species